GGUGAAGCCCAGCUUGCUGGGUGGAUCAGUGGCGAACGGGUGAGUAACACGUGAGCAACCUGCCCUCCACUUCGGGAUAAGCCUUGGAAACGGGGUCUAAUACCGGAUAUGAGCUCGCAUCGCAUGGUGUGGGUUGGAAAGUUUUUCGGUGGGGGACGGGCUCGCGGCCUAUCAGCUUGUUGGUGGGGUGAUGGCCUACCAAGGCGUCGACGGGUAGCCGGCCUGAGAGGGCGACCGGCCACACUGGGACUGAGACACGGCCCAGACUCCUACGGGAGGCAGCAGUGGGGAAUAUUGCACAAUGGGCGCAAGCCUGAUGCAGCGACGCCGCGUGAGGGAUGACGGCCUUCGGGUUGUAAACCUCUUUCAGCAGGGAAGAAGCGCAAGUGACGGUACCUGCAGAAGAAGCGCCGGCUAACUACGUGCCAGCAGCCGCGGUAAUACGUAGGGCGCAAGCGUUGUCCGGAAUUAUUGGGCGUAAAGAGCUCGUAGGCGGUCUGUCGCGUCUGGUGUGAAAUCCCGAGGCUCAACCUCGGGCUUGCAUCGGGUACGGGCAGACUAGAGUGCGGUAGGGGAGACUGGAAUUCCUGGUGUAGCGGUGGAAUGCGCAGAUAUCAGGAGGAACACCGAUGGCGAAGGCAGGUCUCUGGGCCGCAACUGACGCUGAGGAGCGAAAGCAUGGGGAGCGAACAGGAUUAGAUACCCUGGUAGUCCAUGCCGUAAACGUUGGGCACUAGGUGUGGGGCUCAUUCCACGAGUUCCGUGCCGCAGCUAACGCAUUAAGUGCCCCGCCUGGGGAGUACGGCCGCAAGGCUAAAACUCAAAGGAAUUGACGGGGGCCCGCACAAGCGGCGGAGCAUGCGGAUUAAUUCGAUGCAACGCGAAGAACCUUACCAAGGCUUGACAUGUACGAGAAAGCCCCCGAGACGGGGUUCUCUUUGGACACUCGUACACAGGUGGUGCGUGGUUGUCGUCAGCUCGUGUCGUGAGAUGUUGGGUUAAGUCCCGCAACGAGCGCAACCCUCGUCCUAUGUUGCCAGCGGGUUAUGCCGGGGACUCAUGGGAGACUGCCGGGGUCAACUCGGAGGAAGGUGGGGAUGACGUCAAAUCAUCAUGCCCCUUAUGUCUUGGGCUUCACGCAUGCUACAAUGGCCGGUACAGAGGGCUGCGAUACCGUAAGGUGGAGCGAAUCCCAAAAAGCCGGU
rnacentral:rRNA from 1 species